rnacentral:rRNA from 1 species
GUCUACGGCCAUACCACCCUGAGUGUGCCUGAUCUCUUCUGAUCUUGGAAGCUAACCAGGGUCAGGCCUGGUUAGUAUUUGGAUGCGAGAAGAAAUUCCACCUGUGAACA